rnacentral:rRNA from 1 species
AGAUUGAACGCUGGCGGCAUGCUUUACACAUGCAAGUCGAACGGUAACAGGCCGCAAGGUGCUGACGAGUGGCGAACGGGUGAGUAAUGCAUCGGAACGUGCCCAGUCGUGGGGGAUAACGCAGCGAAAGCUGUGCUAAUACCGCAUACGAUCUAUGGAUGAAAGCGGGGGACCGAAAGGCCUCGCGCGAUUGGAGCGGCCGAUGUCAGAUUAGCUAGUUGGUGGGGUAAAGGCCACCAAGGCGACGAUCUGUAGCUGGUCUGAGAGGACGACCAGCCACACUGGAACUGAGACACGGU